AUUACGAGCAAUGCUUAAAACCCAAAGGAUUUGACGGUGUCCCACCCCACUAGAGGAGCCUGUUGUAUAAUCGAUGAUCCCCGAUUCACCUAACCAUCCCUCGCCUUCAGUCUGUAUACCUCCGUCGAAAGCUUAUCAUGUGAAGGGCCGCAGUAGGCUUAAUGAUCCCCCAUCAAUACGUGAGGACAAGGUGCAGCUUAAGGGAUGGCAAGCAAUGGGCUACAAUUUCUAAUUUAGAACAAACGAAAGACUAUGUGAAACCCUAGUCAUGAAGGUGGAUUUAGUAGUAAAAAGAAAGCAGAGUGUUCUUUUUAACCCGGCUCUGGGACGCGUACACACCGCCCGUCACCCUCUUCAAUAGUACUCCAUCUGUUCAUAACCCAACAUCACAUUUUAGAAGAGGCAAGUCGUAACAUGGUAA
rnacentral:rRNA from 1 species